GACGAACGCUGGCGGCGUGCUUAACACAUGCAAGUCGAACGGAAAGGCCCUGCUUGCAGGGUACUCGAGUGGCGAACGGGUGAGUAACACGUGGGUGAUCUGCCCUGCACUUCGGGAUAAGCCUGGGAAACUGGGUCUAUUACCGGAUAGGCGCCAUUUUUAGUGUGAUGGUUGGAAAGUUUUUUCGGUGUAGGAUGAGCUCGCGGCCUAUCAGCUUGUUGGUGGGGUAAUGGCCUACCAAGGCGGCGACGGGUAGCCGGCCUGAGAGGGUGAACGGCCACAUUGGGACUGAGAUACGGCCCAGACUCCUACGGGAGGCAGCAGUGGGGAAGAUUGCACAAUGGGCGCAAGCCUGAUGCAGCGACGCCGCGUGGGGGAUGACGGCCUUCGGGUUGUAAACUCCUUUCGCUAGGGACGAAGCUUUUUGUGACGGUACCUAGAUAAGAAGCACCGGCUAACUACGUG
rnacentral:rRNA from 1 species